AUCUUUGUGCUUGGGGCAAUACGAUAGUGUGUGAAGCUUUGCUGAUGCAUCGUGAUUGCU
rnacentral:snRNA from 1 species